GCCGCGGGGUCUGUGGGGUUUGGGGAAUGGCCGGUGUCCCCUGCAGGUGUUCCGGUACCUGCGGACGCUCCUGCCCGAGAGCGGCUUCAGCAUCCAGCGCUGCACCCGCUACAGCCGCGACACCAACGGCGCCAGGGUGGUGUCCACCCGCGCCUGGUGAGCCCAAAAUCCCCCCAAAACCCCCAGAAUCCCCCCAAAAACACCCCAGAAUCCCCCCAAAAUCCCCGGGGACUCUGAGCCCCCCUGAACCCGCCACAGCCACGGCACUGACAGCCCAAACCCCUCAGGAUCGGGUGUAAUUUCCAUUUCCGACUGUCCAGGUACCCAAACCCCUCAGGACUGAGGUGUAAUUUCCCUUUCUGGCUGUACAGCCACACACGACAGGUGCCCAAACCCCUCAGGAUUGGGUGUAAUUUCCCUUUCCGACUGUCCAGGUACCCAAACUCCCCUCAGAAUCGGGUGUAAUUUCCCUUUCUGACUGUCCAGGUACCCAAACUCCCCUCAGGAUUUGGUGUAAUUUCCCUUUCUGACUGUCCAGGUAGCCAAACUACCCUCAGAAUCGGGUGUAAUUUCCCUCUCUGGCUCUCCUCCCGCACACGGCGGGUACCCAAACCCCUGAGGAUUAAGGUAAUUAAUUAAUUAAUUAAGGUAAUUCAUUUUAAUUUCCCUUCGUGCGUCCCCAGGCGCAAGCACGAGACGCUGGAGCUGCUGGGGGGCUGCGGGGUGGAGCUGCGGGGCUCGGACCGGGCGCUGCUCCGGGCGGGCGACAACGACUUCAGCCUCAUGUACUCCACACGGCGCCGGAAAACCCAGCUCUGGCUGGGGCCCGCGGCCUUCAUCAACCACGGUGGGACCCUAAAACCUCCCAGGAACUCAGCCACGAGCCCAAAAAUCCUGCGCUGGGACCCCCCGGAAUCCCCCCGAGCAGCCUCGGGACCCACCUGGCUGUCGUGGCGGUCCUUGAGCAGGCGCUGAUGGUUCUUUUGUUCUCCUCAGAUUGCCAUCCCAACUGCAGGUUUGUGUCAGCCCCGGGCGGGGCGCGGGUGCAGGCGCUGCGGGACAUCCCACCCCGGGCAGAAAUCACCUGUUUCUACGGCGAUGGCUUCUUCGGCGAGGGCAACCGCGGCUGCGAGUGCCGCACCUGCGAGAGGUACCCCCAAAACCUCCGGGGGACCCCGAAAAUCCUCAGAGGGUGCCCAAAAACCUUCAGGGGGAGAGGGGAAUGGACUCUGAGAACCUCACAGAGGAGACUCUAAAAAUCUCCUUGAAAGGCCCCAGAAACUUCCAUGGGGGGGGACUCCAAAAUGGGGGGAGAUUCUAAAACAGGUGUGAGAAAGCCCAAAUUU
rnacentral:lncRNA from 1 species